GACGAACGCUGGCGGCGUGCCUAAUACAUGCAAGUUGAGCGCUGAAGGUUGGUACUUGUACCAACUGGAUGAGCAGCGAACGGGUGAGUAACGCGUGGGGAAUCUGCCUUUGAGCGGGGGACAACAUUUGGAAACGAAUGCUAAUACCGCAUAAAAACUUUAAACACAAGUUUUAAGUUUGAAAGAUGCAAUUGCAUCACUCAAAGAUGAUCCCGCGUUGUAUUAGCUAGUUGGUGAGGUAAAGGCUCACCAAGGCGAUGAUACAUAGCCGACCUGAGAGGGUGAUCGGCCACAUUGAGACUGAGACACGGCCCAAACUCCUACGGGAGGCAGCAGUAGGGAAUCUUCGGCAAUGGACGAAAGUCUGACCGAGCAACGCCGCGUGAGUGAAGAAGGUUUUCGGAUCGUAAAACUCUGUUGGUAGAGAAGAACGGUGGUGAGAGUGGAAAGCUCAUCAAGUGACGGUAACUACCCAGAAAGGGACGGCUAACUACGUG
rnacentral:rRNA from 1 species